rnacentral:tRNA from 1 species
GCCCCUGUAGCAUAGUAGCUAUUGCGUUUGCCUCGUAAGCAAAAGGUCGUGGGUGCAACUCCCACUGGGGGCU